AAGACCGUCCCGAUACGAAGACCAGCCGCAGUCAGUCCCUCACCUCAAGAUGGCGGCGGUGGCAGAACCUCUUACUCUCCAACAAGAUGUCAAGAGAGCUGUUGAAUUACUUGAUAAGCUGCAGAAAACGGGAGAAAUACCCUCAGCCAAGCUAGCGGCGCUCCAGCGAGUGCUCCAGUCCGAGUUCCUGACAGCAGUGCGGGAAGUGUACGAACACGUAUAUGAGACAGUUGACAUCUCCGGCUCCCCUGAGAUCCGUGCCUCUGCUACUGCCAAGGCAACUGUAGCUGCCUUUGCUGCCAGUGAGGGUCAUGCACAUCCCAGAGUUGUAGAACUGCCCAAGACUGAUGAGGGGCUGGGCUUUAAUGUCAUGGGAGGACGGGAGCAGAAUUCCCCCAUCUAUAUCUCCCGAAUCAUCCCUGGAGGCGUGGCAGACCGUCAUGGAGGACUCAAGAGAGGAGACCAGCUGCUGUCAGUCAAUGGAGUGAGCGUGGAGGGUGAGAACCACGAGCGAGCCGUGGAGUUGCUGAAAGCUGCCAGUGGCUCAGUGAAGCUGGUGGUGCGCUACACCCCACGAGUGCUGGAGGAAAUGGAGAUGCGGUUCGACAAACAGCGGGCGUCACGUAGGCGAACUUCCCAGUUACAGUAGAAAGCCCUAGUGGAGGAGUGGCGAGGCUGGGGCUGCUCCGUGCCAGUGAUGGGGGACAGCCGGCCAGAUGUCUUGGGGGGACAGAUGGCUCAGUGGUAGAGUGCUCAGCUAGUGGCCACAAUGAGUGUGGCAGGCAGUGGAACUGAACACCUGUGGCAGCUUACAGCAGACACCAAGAGUCACCACCACACUCACACCACUGAGGUUGCUCGUGUGGCCAGCCAUUGGUAUCGAUGCUUACUGAAAAUGUUAUUACCAGUUUGUUGACAAUUUAAGGCUUUUUGCACCAAGACCCAACAGGGCAUUUGUGGCUUAACACCUUCAGCCUCCCUGGAUCACCAUCACCUUUGUGCCCUUCCUUGUAUGUUAGAAAGUUACUUAUACAUAAUGUUCUUGCAUAGUCAUUCUGCCUUUGAAAGACAGAGUUUUUGGAGGUUUUAUAGAUGAAGGUUGUACAACGUUGAGGCUAAGUUCCAUUAAAGCUAUGCAGUCUUUAUCUGCCUUGUGAUGUUGGAGCACUUUUGCAGCAUUAUUGAAAAGGAAGUUCAUAUCUGUAUCACAGAAAUUUUAUUUCAAAAUUGGUACUCUUCAAAAUUAGAUAUCUUUUCCUGCACUAAUAUUUCAUAAGUGUUUGUGUCUUUGUCAUUUAGAAAGCGUCAUGUGUUCUGUGUGAAGUCAUGGUGUUCCUGCAGAUAGUAAGCACAUUUAUAACAUUUUAAUAUAUAUUAUCUGUUCCCUCUCCUAACCUUGCUGCUUCCCUUCCUCCUUAAUUUAAGAGGUCAUCCUGGCAUAAAGAAUUAUUCAAAGUGGAAUACUGUUAUAUAAUUUUUGUUCAAGAUAGUAAUGCUGUUGAUGGAGGGGGUUUUCAGUAAAAACAUUCCAUUUGUAAUUCUCCAUAUGGCUCUAUGAUAAGGGUUGUUUUCCAUGCAGAAGGUGCUGCUAAGCUGAAAUCUCAUUCAUUAUAGCAUGUUUAUUUCAGUUAUUUAACAUAUAAUUUGUGUAUUUUCAUAUAUUUCAUAAAUCACUAUCUGUAUAAAAAAUGCAUUUGUCACUGCAUAUACUUACAAAAUGUUCUGUUCAAUAUUUUUGAGUGGUAGCAUUUUAUGUUUUAAGAUUUAUUUGAAGUCUACUGUUGAAAUCUGUCAGAUGUUAUUGUGAAUUCAGCAUGACACGUCACCAGCAGGGGGAUAUUGCUUUGAGUGUAAACCCAUAAAUUGCUGUGACAAGCAGCCAGACCCAUGGCUUUGAUUACAUGCAGCACACCCCAUCAUGGCUAAAAGUUUGAAUGCUUGCUUUGUUGUAAACCACUGCACAUCACUUGAAAAUGUCGAUAUCCGUGAAUCUCAGCUUGCAGGAUUCUAUGAUGAAACUGAAAAUAUUGUCACUGCUGAUGCUUUGGUAUGCCAGACCUAUUCAGUGUUGACUCAUUCAUUUCAAGGAGCCAGAGAUGAUGUAUUCAUUGAUUUAUGGCUUACCAAAGUUGUUUGACACAGUUUUGACCGUUGCUUGGAUUAGGACGUGUCCUGCAGCCAGUAUCUAUUUGUUUUCUUGAUUGUUAAGGGUGAUUGAUGGAAUAAGGUUGCUAUUUCUUGAAUUUCCUCAGUUGAGAGCUACCCAGCAUACAUGAAGUUCAUGUACUAUAGUUAUUGUUAUGAUUACAUACAUUGUAUUGCAUUAAUUACGUUAUUGUAAAGGAAAUAAUGACAUGCUGAUCAGUUUGCUUUGCUGGGAAUGUGUUGAUGCCAGACUGAUAAGGGUGCCACUAGUCAUGAUUGUGCUCACAGCCUUGGAUUAUUAGAAAAUGUGAAUAUAUAAUACUAUUUUCCACUAUUUAUAUUUCUAUUUAAUGUGAGAAGGUGAGGAAAGUAAAGUGCUUUUCAUUAUUAUAGUAUGCAUAACAUACAUACUGUACCAGUUUAAUCUUUAGACUACAGACUAUGAAGGCAUUUAUGAUGUACAGUAAUGCAAGUUUUGCAUACAGGCCAUGUUAAUGAAUUCAGGUACAGCCAGUGGGAGUCACUUGAGAGAAUAGUAGCUACUGUAGAGAACUUAUAUGUUUACCAAGUAUGAGGGAUAAUUUGUAUUUAGACAAUUACAGUAUUAGUCAUGAAUGUUGGAUCCCAUGGCUGUAAAAAGAUGUAAUGUUUGUCACUAUUGACUAGUACAUACUCAUUGUCUUAACAAAAAGGGAAGGGAGGAAAGGUGGGGUGGUGGGAGAGUGAAAGGAAUGAUGGAUGAAGAAGCAGGGGAGGGGGUCAAGGGGUCCAAACUAAUGACUAGUACUGUAGCGUUUUUUUUUUUUGUUCCCUUGGUCCCGAGAUAUCCACAGUAGCAGAGCAUAGCAUCUUGGUGGGUGGUGGAGGCCUUGAGGGGGUAGCUAGUAAUUUAUCAGUGCUGGAGGCUUUGUCCCUUCCUUACCUGUGACUUAUUGUAUGACCAUUGUUUAUGAACACUGUAGCUAUGGUUAGGUGUAUAGUGUUUAUAUAUAAUAGAUGUAGAUCAUGUAUGUACCCUGUCAUGUACAUUUUUUUUUUUUUCCUAAUGUAAAUGUUUCCUUUUA